GGACUACAGGGGUAUCUAAUCCUGUUUGCUACCCACGCUUUCGCGCCUCAGCGUCAGUUGAUGCCCAGUGGACCGCCUUCGCCACGGGUAUUCCUCCCGAUAUCAACGCAUUUCACCGCUACACCGGGAAUUCUAUCCACCUCUGCAUCACUCCAGCUCGCCAGUAUGAAAAGCGGUUUGUGGGUUGAGCCCACAGCUUUCACUUCUCACUUAACGAGCCGCCUACGCGCUCUUUACGCCCAGUAAAUCCGGACAACGCUUGCACCCUACGUCUUACCGCGGCUGCUGGCAC
rnacentral:rRNA from 1 species